UACGGAGGAUGCGAGCGUUAUCCGGAUUUAUUGGGUUUAAAGGGUGCGUAGGCGGUCUUUUAAGUCAGCGGUGAAAGCCCGGGGCUCAACCCCGGCGAGCCGUUGAUACUGGGAGACUGGAGAGGAAGAGAGGCAUGCGGAAUUCGCGGUGUAGCGGUGGAAUGCUUAGAUAUCGCGAAGAACUCCGAUUGCGAAGGCAGCAUGCUGGCUUCUGUCUGACGCUGAGGCACGAAAGCGUGGGGAUCGAACAGG
rnacentral:rRNA from 1 species